rnacentral:rRNA from 1 species
UACGAAGGGUGCAAGCGUUGUUCGGAAUUAUUGGGCGUAAAGGGCGCGUAGGCGGCUUGACAAGUCAAAGGUGAAAUCCCUCGGCUCAACUGAGGAACUGCCUUUGAAACUGUCUGGCUUGAGGCCGGGAGGGGGUAGCGGAAUUCCCAGUGUAGCGGUGAAAUGCGUAGAUAUUGGGAGGAACACCAGUGGCGAAGGCGGCUACCUGGACCGGUUCUGACGCUGAUGCGCGAAAGCGUGGGUAGCAAACAGG